GGUUUUAACAAAAUACCCUUGUCAGCUAGAAAUUCAGCCGCAGACAUGAAUUCACGAAAGCAGGAAAUAACAACAUUGCUACAAUCUUUUGGCCUAAUAAAAUCCUUCUAAAAAAUCACUCCAUUUCUCCAUUUCCACAACAUCCAACAAGAUAUGCCAAAUAGCACACUCCAACUGAUACCCUCCACUAAAAGAUUCAAAUCUCUCCACACUGUCCGCAAAGAAGUUGCAUAAAAUAUUAGCAGGCACUAAAGAAAUCCAAAAUUUCUUCGCCGCAACACAUCUACGCAACUCGUGGUCCAAAUCCUCAUAAUCCAACAGACAGCAAGGAUAGUAAGGAUCCCCAAAGAAGUGCC
rnacentral:misc_RNA from 1 species